ensembl:lncRNA
CUUCCUUCCCCACUCCUUGGAACUGGUUCAACCAGAGUACAACCAGCUCAUCUGCAUCUGGCCUCACAAGACAGGCAGGAGGCAGCGGAGGAGGAGGAGCGGGCAGGCGGGCGGCCAGGAGCUGCAGCGGCUGCCACGUGAGCGCACAGCCGGGGCCGCGCCGCGCCGCGCCGCGCCGCCCGGGACGCCAAUGCCGGGCCGGCGGCGCGCGGGGCUUGCUCAUGAGGCCUCUGCCGAGCCGGAGGAGGAGGAGCCACGGCCUCUCGCUGGGAGUCUUCGCCCUCUGCUUGGCCGCUGCCCGCUGUCUGCAGACUCUCAACAUGGGAAGUUAUCCAUCAGGCCUCCUCCUCAUCAGUGCUCCCGCUCAUUUGGAAGCAGAUGAUCCAAGACUCAAGCAGGUGGUGCCUUCCCGGCAUCUGGGGAGAAGGGCGGCGUUUCCUCUCUGCCGGCAGAAAAGGAGCUGAGAAGAACAUCGGCUCCUGCAAACAUCCUGGCGUAUUAUCGGGACAGUUGAAGAAUACCCCGAUUUCCAUCUCUACUCAGCCACUUACUGUGACAUUGCACAAAUUACCUAACCUCAGUGGCUUGACCUUGCUCCUCUCUAAAAUGGGGGUGAUGAUAUACUCUUCACCAGGCCAGCGCCCACGAGCCAGUGCCCUGCCAUGGAGGAAGAGUGGCGAGUGUGGGGCUGGGCUCAAUCACUCGUGGGGGUCCCCACUAAAAAGGGGAUGCAGUGAGAUUGCUGACCCAUGGGAGAUGUGUUCGGAAGCCAGAGGGUUAAGGGAAGAAGGGCUUUUGUCCUCUCUGUUUACCCAGAGCUGGCUGUCUCUACACCCCCACUGUGGAGCCCCCUUGGGUGCCUCAGAAAUCAGCUGUUGUCUACCUUAGAGUUUUCUCUUUGCUCUUCAACGUUUCUUUGAGUCUCAGAUGGGGUGACCAGCUGUCCUGUUUUGCCCAUGACUGUCCUGAUUUUAGCACUGAAACUCUUGAAUCCUGGGAAAACUCUCAGCCCUGGGCAAACCAUGAGGGUUGGUCACCUGAGGCUGGUGACACACUGAUGGAGAGGGGUGAGCAGUGGGGACUGCAGCUCCUGGACGGGUACCUUGUGCUCAGCCCCGCUGGGCCUUACAUGUGUUGUGUCACCUCAUCCUCACAGCCCUCCUCCCAAGGUUUUCCAGUCCUCAUUCCACAGUGGAGGACGCCGGGGCUGUCAGCAGUGAAGGCGCCGUCUCUAGGUCUCGACAGCUAAGAGGUCCCCAGGGUGAACCUGUGUGGAUCCUCCCACAUCAGGUAUCUCCACCGCACCUCACCGCACCUGGAAUAACCCUUUUGUGAUGUGACUCAUCACUUCACCAACCUGCUCCAGUGCUUCUGAAUUAGGACCCUAAACUAGGCUUUCUGACUUCUAGUUUAGUUGCCUACAGUCUUGAUAAGGAUGCUGAUGACGAUGAUGCUUGUUUCCUGGUUCUCAUCUGAUGAUCACACUGGCUGGAUAAGUGGCUUUCCAGAUAAGUGAGCUGAAAAUGAGUUGUCCUGGGACUUCCCAGGUGACGCAGUGGUGAAGAAUCUGCCUGCCAGUGCAGGGGACACGGGUUUGACCCCUGGUCCGGGAAGAUACCACAUGCCACAGAGCAACUAUGCCCGUGCGCCACAACUACUGAGCCUGUGCUCUAGAGCCCGCGAGCCACAACUACUGAAGCCUGCGCACCUAGAACCCGUGCUCCGCAACAAGAAGCCACCGCAAUGAGAAGCCCGCACAACGCAACGAAGAGUAGCCCCCGCUCGCCACAACUAGAGAAAGCCCGCGCAGCAACGAAGACCCAAUGCAACCAAAAAAAUAAUAAUAAUAAAAUUAAUUAAUUUAAAAAAUGAGUUGUCUUGAUUAAGGUGUAUCCUCCAUGGCAGGCAAUAUCUGUCUCCCCUUUAAUUGAUGCUGUUGUCCCCCCCAAAUUGUGGUGUGAACAGUAUUAACCUUUAUUGUGAUUUCAGGAAAUAUAUCCUUCUUAAAUAAUAAAUUUUUAAAAGCAG